rnacentral:lncRNA from 10 species
AGUUCGAGCUUCCCGGCUGCUUUGUUUACCUAAGCAAGCCUGGGCAAUGGUGGGCGCCCCUCCCCCAGCCUCGCUGCCGCCUUGCAGUUUGAUCUCAGACUGCUGUGCUAGCAAUCAGCGAGAUUCCGUGGGCGUAGGACCCUCGGAGCCAGGUGUGGGAUAUAGUCUCGUGGUGCGCCGUUUCUUAAGCCGGUCUGAAAAGCGCAAUAUUCGGGUGGGAGUGACCCGAUUUUCCAGGUGCGUCCGUCACCCCUUUCUUUGACUCGGAAAGGGAACUCCCUGACCCCUUGCGCUUCCCAGGUGAGGCAAUGCCUCGCCCUGCUUCGGCUCGCGCACGGUGCGCACACACACUGGCCUGCGCCCACUGUCUGGCACUCCCUAGUGAGAUGAACCCGGUACCUCAGAUGGAAAUGCAGAAAUCACCCGUCUUCUGCGUCGCUCACGCUGGGAGGUGUAGACCGGAGCUGUUCCUAUUCGGCCAUCUUGGCUCCUCCCAACAAUUGUAUUUUGGGAUCUCUACUGUGCAGCUCCAGAGAGACGUGAAACAUGUGAACACUCAAGUGAAGCAAAAGC